GUGCUCACUUUGGCAGCACAUAUGCUAAAAUCGGAAUGAUACAGAGAAGAUUAGCCUGGCCCCUGUGCAAAGAUGACAUGGAAAUUCUUGAAGUAUCCCAUAUUUUG
rnacentral:snRNA from 1 species